rnacentral:rRNA from 1 species
UAGGGAAUCUUCCACAAUGGACGCAAGUCUGAUGGAGCAACGCCGCGUGAGUGAAGAAGGUUUUCGGAUCGUAAAGCUCUGUUGUUGGUGAAGAAGGAUAGUGGCAGUAACUGGUCUUUAUUUGACGGUAAUCAACCAGAAAGUCACGGCUAACUACGUGCCAGCAGCCGCGGUAAUACGUAGGUGGCAAGCGUUGUCCGGAUUUAUUGGGCGUAAAGCGAGCGCAGGCGGAAUGAUAAGUCUGAUGUGAAAGCCCACGGCUCAACCGUGGAACUGCAUCGGAAACUGUCAUUCUUGAGUGCAGAAGAGGAGAGUGGAAUUCCAUGUGUAGCGGUGGAAUGCGUAGAUAUAUGGAAGAACACCAGUGGCGAAGGCGGCUCUCUGGUCUGCAACUGACGCCGAGGCUCGAAAGCAUGGGUAGCGAACAGG